GAUUAACGCGAAGAACCUUACCUACCCUUGACAUGGUCGGAAUCCCGCUGAGAGGUGGGAGUGCUCGAAAGAGAACCGGCGCACAGGUGCUGCAUGGCUGUCGUCAGCUCGUGUCGUGGGAUGUUGGGUUAAGUCCCGCAACGAGCGCAACCCUUGUCCUUAGUUGCUACGCAAGAGCACUCUAAGGAGACUGCCGGUGACAAACCGGAGGAAGGUGGGGAUGACGUCAAGUCCUCAUGGCCCUUAUGGGUAGGGCUUCACACGUCAUGCAAUGGUCGGAACAGAGGGUUGCCAACCCGCGAGGGGGAGCUAAUCCCAGAAAACCGAUCGUAGUCCGGAUUGCACUCUGCAACUUGAGUGCAUGAAGCUGGAAUCGCUAGUAAUCGCGGAUCAGCAUGCCGCGGUGAAUACGUUCCCGGGCCUUGUACACACCGAAUC
rnacentral:rRNA from 1 species